GAUGAACGCUGGCGGCGUGCUUAACACAUGCAAGUCGAACGGUGAACACGGAGCUUUCUCUGUGGGAUCAGUGGCGAACGGGUGAGUAACACGUGAGCAACCUGCCCCUGACUCUGGGAUAAGCGCUGGAAACGGCGUCUAAUACUGGAUAUGUGACGUGACCGCAUGGUCUGCGUUUGGAAAGAUUGUUCGGUUGGGGUUGGGCUCGCGGCCUAUGCGCUUGUUGGUGAGGUAAUGGCUCACCAAGGCGUCGACGGGUAGCCGGCCUGAGAGGGUGACCGGCCACACUGGGAUUGAGACACGGCCCAGACUCCUACGGGAGGCAGCGGUGGGGAAUAUUGCACACUGGGCGGAAGCCUGAUGCAGGAACGCCGCGUGGGGGAGGACUGCUUUCGGGUUGUAAACCUUUUUUAGCAGGGAAGAAGCGAAAGUGACGGUACCUGAAGAAAAAGAGCCGGCUAACUACGUG
rnacentral:rRNA from 1 species